GAUGAACGCUGGCGGCGUGCCUAAUACAUGCAAGUCGAGCGAACAGACGAGGAGCUUGCUCCUCUGACGUUAGCGGCGGACGGGUGAGUAACACGUGGAUAACCUACCUAUAAGACUGGGAUAACUUCGGGAAACCGGAGCUAAUACCGGAUAAUAUAUUGAACCGCGUGGUUCAAUAGUGAAAGACGGUUUUGCUGUCACUUAUAGAUGGAUCCGCGCCGCAUUAGCUAGUUGGUAAGGUAACGGCUUACCAAGGCAACGAUGCGUAGCCGACCUGAGAGGGUGAUCGGCCACACUGGAACUGAGACACGGUCCAGACUCCUACGGGAGGCAGCAGUAGGGAAUCUUCCGCAAUGGGCGAAAGCCUGACGGAGCAACGCCGCGUGAGUGAUGAAGGUCUUCGGAUCGUAAAACUCUGUUAUUAGGGAAGAACUAAUGUGUAAGUAACUAUGCACGUCUUGACGGUACCUAAUCAGAAAGCCACGGCUAACUACGUG
rnacentral:rRNA from 1 species